CCUGUCAUUGUCCCCAUCCUGUCUCCAUUCUUGUCACCAUCCCCAUCCCUGUCCCCACAGCCCAAUGGGUCCCAAAGGGCCACAGCCCCCAGCUGAAAGCAAUAACCCCCCUGGUUAUAGGCAGCAGUUCCUGCUUUGUUCCCUGCCUGCUCUGGGGGGAGGACAGGGCUGGGGAGCUCCUAAAGUGCCUAAUUUGCAUGAUGCUAAUUGAGUGCCUGCAAAUGCCCUGGGCCAGGCGGAGGUGCUGGGGCUCUGUUGUCGCUCAGCAGAGGCGUUGGGGCCGUGGGCAGCAGCGAUGAAGCCUGAGCCCCCCGCUCUCUCGAGGAAGAAAGGAGCGAUGGGCUGCGCCUGGCAGAGCCUCCUCUGCCUCCGUCCCCGCUGGCAGAAGAAGAAGGUGGUUUAUUCCACCCACAUCCACAAGCUCCUAAACCAGAUGUGGUCCGCUGGAGCCUCCUGCCUGGUGGCCGCUGUCCUCGCCAGGCUCGGCAGCCCCCGGCUGCUUGGGGACGUGGCGCUGGAGGCCACCCGGCUGUCCCGCUGCGGCAGAAGAAGCCACCUCGGCCACCAGCAGGUCCUGCUGGCCACGAAGCUGGUGCUGCUGCGUGAGCUCUCCAAGCCUCCCCCAGGAUCCUUAUGCUGUGACUGAAGGGACAUGAGACAGUCUUAGGAGUAUUUUAACGUGGUUUUGGUAAAUAAAGUAUUUAUUAGCAUUGUUUGA